ACAUGAUUCCGCAGGGCGACUGGCACCCGGAACAUCUCGACUAUGAUAGUAUCAUUGACCUUUUACAAAGCAUUCAAAAGAGCAAGAAGUUUCAGGACUUGCACGACUUUUUGGCGCAAGGAAAACAUUUAGUACAUUUAAACGACAGGUGAGAAGAAACCGGGUGAAGCUGUUUUCCUUUUCAAAGAAGGAAAACUCAAAGGAUAACAUGGCAAUAUGGCGCCGAAAUUCCUAACCUCUCAGGGCUUGACUUUUCUAUUGUUUUACGCCAAGGACUAGCUAGGUUUCAAUUUUUUUGUAUAUUGUGAUAUUUCUGUGCAAAUCCAUUACAUUUGACGCAAUUUAACACUAUUCGCUAUUUGGGGUUUCUGUCUAGUUUGGGUGCACAUGUACCUCUAGUUGCAUCUACUAGAUGAAUUCAUUGGAUUCAGGAAAAUGUGUUGUGCGAUUUAGUGAUCAGAUUCAUUUGUCACUCUUACAUUUAAAAGCGAAAUCCAUUUCCUUUACGGGCAGUUGUGAUAUUGUGAAGUUAUUUGGCGGGAAAUUUGAAUGAAAAUGAUAAUUACCCGAAUGAUCAUUACUUUUCUUCCGAAGAAAACCAAGAGGUUACGAUUGGUGGCGUGUGGUGCUAUACAUGUAUUAUUUCUGUUGCAUUAUUGCAACACAGUGUUUUACUAUGUGUGGAUUUCUAUCUGUCUGCUCAUGUAUUGAUUUUUUUUCGCAUAUAUUUUGAAUUAUGGAAAAACCCAUGUUGUGUAACAGAACUUAAAAAAUGCCCGCAUGUAUUGAUCUAUGUAUUCAUGUGCAUUUUUUACGAAGUUCACUAAUAUAUCCGAUAACAUAUUCCAUUCCUGUGCAAGUUUCAAGCAUAUUCGGCUCUGACAGAUAUAUAUCGUGAUACCUGUAUAUGCACGGAAAUGCACGUGAUUUAACGUUUGGUGUACUAGAAACUUGUACGCAGAGUUCUGUAAUUUUUUGGCAUACGCCGAGUCUAUUGGGAAAAAAAAUGUUGUACUCUUUUCAAUGAGAUAUUGAUUAGGUCAAUUGAUUUUGAGCAGAAUUUUUUUUUAAUAAUUAUUCUUUUGAUAUACAUUUAUAUACAUUGUCCUAUAUUUAUUACGGUAACCUGUUAUUUGUUGAAAAUUGAAAUAAAUAAAAACCAUGUCCAUUAUACAUGCUAUAAAGAUGUUACAUGAAAAUAAAAAAGAAACAAUUGUUGAA
rnacentral:misc_RNA from 1 species